rnacentral:rRNA from 1 species
GAUGAACGCUGGCGGCGUGCGUAACACAGGCAAGUCGAACGGAAAGGCUCCUGCUUGCAGGGGUACUCGAGUGGCGAACGGGUGAGUAACACGUGGGUGAUCUGCCCUGCACUUCGGGAUAAGCCUGGGAAACUGGGUCUAAUACCGGAGAGGACGAUGGUUUGGAUGCCAUUGUGGAAAGUUUUUCGGUGUGGGAUGAGCUCGCGGCCUAUCAGCUUGUUGGUGGGGUAAUGGCCUACCAAGGCGUCGACGGGUAGCCGGCCUGAGAGGGUGUCCGGCCACAUUGGGACUUAGCUACGGCCCAGACUCCUACGGGAGGCAGCAGUGGGGAAUAUUGCACAAUGGGCGCAAGCCUGAUGCAGCGACGCCGCGUGGGGGAUGACGGCCUUCGGGUUGUAAACUCCUUUCGCUAGGGACGAAGCGCAAGUGACGGUACCUGGAGAAGAAGCACCGGCUACCUACGUG